GCUCCUUACGUCGUAACUACAAUCCCCUUCCCUUUCAUGAAUAUGACCUACCGAAUUAGACUAUUUACCGGAUUUGUAAUCACUUAAGCAACACGACGGGUGCCACAUGUGGAGCAGGAUCUGCUUACCCUUCCGGAGCACCUGAGAUCACCCCUAGUUUUUGGUGGGGUUCGUGUUGUUUAUUCUUUGGUUUUCUAUGUUGUGUCGUGUGUACUAUUGUUUUUCUGUUUGUCUUUUUUAUUUUUAGCCAUGGCGUUGUCAGUUUGUUUUAGAUUUAUGAGUUUGACUGUCCCUUUGGUAUCUUUCGUCCCUCUUUGAUA
rnacentral:lncRNA from 1 species